rnacentral:lncRNA from 1 species
GGCCACACCCUUGACAUACGGAAGUUUCCAGGCUAGGGGUCUAAUUGGAGCUGCAGUUGCCAGUCUAUGCCUCGACCACAGUAACUUGGCAUCUAAGCUGUGUCUGCAAGGUACAUAACAGCUUAUGGGAAUGCCAGAUACCUGACCCACUGAGCAAGGCCAGGGAUUGAACAAACAUUCUCAUGGAUACCAGUCAGAUUUGUUUAUGCUGCACCACAGUGGGAACUACUGAGAAAGAUCAUGUAUAUCCACUGUAGGGUAAACCCUAGAGUUGUCGGAUCUGAGAAUAUUAUUCUUUGGUAAGAGCUCAAGACCUAUUGCAAGUAAAUGCUCUUCAGCCUCUCUCUUUUGGUUUCUUAUAUUGUACAUUGAAUAUGGAUCAGCCAAGAAACUUGUUUUCUAAGACACUGUAAGGAACAGGCUGAUAGAAGAUUCUUUUGAAAAGAUGCUUCUGAAAUAAUUUCAGUAAGGAUAAAGUAUUGCUUUUCUGACAAUCAAAUACCUUUGUCUAGAAGUGUCGCAUCACUCCAUUCAUAUUUCAUUGAUCAAAUAAUGACACAUAAUAUUACAUAAUUUCAACAAGAGCAGCAAAAGGGAAGAUAUGAAAGAAAGGACUCAGAAUAUUGACAGACCAGCACAAAAAUAAAAGUGUAUCUUUAGGAAUGUUUAAUGAUUACAUCCAUCUUUACCAUUACAAAACUUAAGAAGAAUUCAUAGGCAUGACAAGAUAAUUGUGCUUUAGGAACUUCUGAACAUCAAUUGACCAGAGAUAAUGCUAUUUUACAUAGGUCAGGAUUAUAAAGGUAAAGAUUAAAAUCAAAAACUAAUUUAUUUAUACAUUUUCAAUUUAUUUUGACUAGUAAUACAUUCAUAUGUUUAAAAUAUAAAAAUGAGAUUAAAAAGGCAUGCGUUGGUAAGUUUCAUCUUUACUUUGUCCCUUAUUCUUAUAGCUGUCCCCACAGGUAAUCAUUCUACUACUUUUUUUGUGUAACUUUCUAGUAUGUCUGCAAAUACAAGCAAAUAUGUUUACAAAUUUUAUAUUUUAUGACUCUUCCUUUCUCGCACAAAAUGUAUUAUACUAUAUUUAUUCUGUUGCACCUUGCUCUUUUCACUUCACAAUAUAUCCUGGAGGUUUUUCCAUAUCUUAACAUAGGAGACACUUUAUUCCCUUUUAGGGAUGCAUUGUAUGCUAUAGUG